rnacentral:tRNA from 1 species
GGGCAGGUACCCAAGCGGCCAAAGGGGACAGACUGUAAAUCUGUUGGUGCAAGCCUUCAGAGGUUCGAAUCCUCUCCUGCCCA